UCCCCUGACCCGGUACACCCAGGACACCUAAUGCAGCAGCAGCAGCUGCAAGCUAAGUGAAAGAAAAAAAGAGGAAGGAAAAGGCAGAUCGGGAAAGGGUAGAAGAGAGGGAGAGAGGGGGCUAAGCUGCGGCGAAGAGGGGAAGGAGGAGUGUCACCGCCGCGCCGCCGUCGCCUCGUUUAGCUGCCGCCUUGCCGCCGCCAUGGCGCACUGAAGGGAGAGAGAGAGAGUGAUCAGGCAGAGAGAGGAGACCGAGGGCGAGGGAGCGCGCCAAGGAGAAGAAGAGGCGCGGCUUGGUCGCCGUCGCGUCAGGCGCAGGGGUGACCACCAUCGCUGCAGAGAGGCCGCACUGCCACCGCCGCAUCCUCGCCGCCAGCUUCGCCGGAUCUGGCCGUCGAACCCGUCCUUUCCGCGUCGUUGAAGUCGCAAGCAGGAGCGGGAGAAGAAGAUGCAAGCCAAGGCCGAGGCAGAGGAGCCGCUGUGCCUGGUAGCCGCCGUCCCGUCACCGUCGUCUACCUCCGUCUCUGUUGAUCUGCAACUCUGCGGUGCUUAGUUAGAGCUUUUGCUACUGUCGCCGGAGCUUCUAUGGCCACCGGAAGCUGCUGCUGCCCAACCAGCUGCAACCGGGGUUGUCUCCUGUCGUGUAUGGCUGCGGAAGAAGUUGAUGUGGCCGCCGGAACCACCAUCGGAGCUACUGGUUACUUCUGCCAUCGCCGGAAAGUUUGUCAACGUCGUGAUUGGAAUUCGUCGCCGCUGCCCUUGAAGUGGCUGCUGGGCUGCCACCGAACCGGUUCGGAGACCGCCGCUGUUUCGGUUCAACCGUUCCUCCUUCGGUUCGAGUUGUUGAGACUGUUGCGAAAGUGGCUUGGAACCGAGGUUUUGGCUGUCAGGAUUUUGAUUGUUGAUCUUGGGUCGAGGCGGAAAGGAUUAUGUGACACGUUUGGGUUAUGGAAUUUGCGUUGAGGGCGCAGAUAUCCUCUAAUGGCGACAGGGCGCAGAUACCCUCUAAUGGCGACAGGGCGUAGAUACCCUCUAAUGAUAAUAAUGCGCAACAGAGAGAUUGUGUCCGGGUUAGCUACCGGACACGUCGGGUUGGCUUGGUAAUCGACAGAUAAUAUCAUCAGCCACUAGGACAGGCAUGCAUCAUAUGCAUCUAUGUGACAUUGUUUGGGUGUGCAUAUUGUAAUUGGUUUGCCUUUGUGAUUAACUGCUAAUUGUUCUACUUGCUGUAACUAUUUGUUUGUGCUUGAACUUCCUAUCUGUGUUUGCAAUUGGGACUUUGUUGGAUCGUGGUAAUUUGGUUGAUGGUUGGAUUGUUUGGGCCUAGGGCCAUGGUUGAAAUGAUAUGGACCGAUGGUUGGUUUCGGUUUUGUGUUUCUGAUUUGUAAAAGUAUGAAAGGCUAUUUUGGUCCAGCAUAGAUAAACCGUUUUGAAAGGCUUUUGAACUUUUGAGAAUUGAAUGGUUUCUCUUUUAGAAAAGGUUUCCGACUUUACUUUUAUUGAAAACCGUUGUUUUUGAAAAGAGGCAUAAGACGGUUAUUAAUCACUAGUACGGUUUAUCUCCAUGUAUCCUAUUACAGUAAUUCUCAAAAACCCUCUACUGAAAACCCUUUCGAGGAUGAUGUUCUCACCCCCCUACAUUUUUCCCCUUUCAGGAUAUGGAUGAAGAUGUCACGAAGAGUUUAUUUCAUUGUUGUUGAGAUGCUCUGUAUGCUUUAGAUUAUUACUUAUUGUACCCUCGCCUUUAUCCUGAUAUAUUCUGUAAGAGGGAUAGGGAUUGUAUUGGUUAAUGUUUGUAAUAUUAUUUAUAUAUAUGUAUGUACAUAUAUGGAUGUACUCUUUAUGAGUUUCUGUAAGUUGUAUGGUAUGUAUGGAUGUACGUUGUAUAGCAAAAGUAUUUUUGGGAGCGGUUUUGCGGUUUAAAAUUUUAAA